rnacentral:rRNA from 1 species
UACGUAGGGUGCGAGCGUUAAUCGGAAUUACUGGGCGUAAAGCGUGCGCAGGCGGUUUUGUAAGCCAGAUGUGAAAUCCCCGGGCUCAACCUGGGAAUGGCAUUUGGGACUGCGAGGCUGGAGUGCGGCAGAGGAGACUGGAAUUCCUGGUGUAGCAGUGAAAUGCGUAGAUAUCAGGAGGAAUACCGAUGGCGAAGGCAGGUCUCUGGGCUGACACUGACGCUCAUGCACGAAAGCGUGGGGAGCAAACAGG